GGGCUUUUGGCAGUGGUAGCGCGCACGCUUCACAUUUUCUCGAGAAGCAAUGUAUGCGUGAGGUCGUAGGUUCAAUCCCAGUGUCCA